rnacentral:tRNA from 1 species
GAGCCCGUGGCCCAAUGGCAGAGCGUUUGACUCAAUUACCAAAGGCGUUGGGUUCGACUCCCAGCUGGUUUA